CCCUUAGAUGCUCUGGGCCGCACGCGCGCUACACUGGUCGAUGCAACGAGUUUCUUUCCUUGGCCGACAGGCCUGGGCAAUCUUUGAACAUCGAUCGUGAUCGGGAUAGAUUCUUGUAAUUUUUGAUCUUAAACGAGGAAUUCCUAGUAAACGCAAGUCAUCAGCUUGCAUUGAUUACGUCCCUGCCCUUUGUACACACCGCCCGUCGCACCUAGCGAUUGAAUGGUCCGGUGAAAUCUCCGGACUGGCGUGAGUCGGAGCAAUCUGACAAACACCGGAAAGUUGAUUAAACCUUACCAUUUAGAGGAAGGUGAAGUCGUANCA
rnacentral:rRNA from 1 species